GUACCAUUAGCUCAAUUGGAUAGAGCGUUUGGCUACGGACCAAAAGGUUAGGGGUUCGAGUCCCUUAUGGUACGCCA
rnacentral:tRNA from 1 species